CGGCCCUGGGGCGGGGCGGGGCGGGGCAGGGCAGCUCAGGACCAGCUGGGCAUUGCCCAGCUGAUCUGGCUCAUUCUUCCCUCCCUGCUGGAAUUCUAGGUGAGGGGAGGCAGGGGGCGGGAACUCCAUUCUAAGUUUCAAAAUUCUAGAGCAGUCAUGGACCUUGGAGACCUUAUUAACCAGCACCCCCCCCCCCCCCCCCAUUUCACAGAGGAGGAGACAAAAGAAUAAAAGACCUUCUUAAGGACCUACAGUAAAUUAAAUCACAAGGCUAGGAUUAGAACUUGGGACUUCUCAGAGUCUAGAGGAGGUGGGCAGUCUGUAACACAGAAAGCAUGGGCCUUUGCCUGGAGCCGGCAUCCUGCUUCUGGUGCCUACACCCUUCUGUGUGACCUUGAGUAAGUCACCCAAUCUUUCUGGGCCUUAGUUUCCUACCUGAAAACACAAAGAAGAAUGGAGAGGGGAUGAGGGUACUUGGAUUCAUUUAUCUCUAAGGUACAUCAUGGUUCAAAAAAACUAAGAAGGCAAAAUAUGUGGAGGACCUGGCACGUUGAGCCCCUCAAAACACAGGUAGGGCAGGACUUGCCUCGAUGUGUAUCCACUUGAACCGGGUCAGAUCAACCUUGUCAAAGUCCGCAGCAGACACAUCUGGCAGGUUCCUAAGUCAUAGGACAGAAACAACAGAAAAGGCAUGAUGGUGAGGUCAGCCAAGGCUGGGAUCUCUAACUGGUUGCUGGGGCCCCUUUGCCUGGUGCUGCCUGCAGCAUGGCCAGAAACUACAUCUACAGCACAGGCUUCUACAGCACAGGCUUCUGAGGCUCAGCUCCAGGAUAGGCGCUAUUCCAGGCUAAACUCCUGACCACUCCUUGCCCCACUCAGUUCCAUCCAGACAGGGGAUUAGAAGCAGUUUGCUAGAAUGCCCUUUGGGUGUUGGAGGCUGUGAUAUUUUCUAAGGGUAAACUCAACUGCAGCAUGUGACAAGAGGCCAGUUGAGUGCCUUGGAGACCACAUCUCCCAGAAUACUCUAAGAGCACCAGGGACUACAAUUCCCAGAGUUCCCCGCCUUGCCAGCAGCACACACAGCUCCCAGCAUGCAAUGCCCUGGUGAUCUACAAAAGCUAUGGCUGCUCUGGGUCUGGUCCUGUUCACUUCUGGCGUCCCAGCCGUGACAGCACCACCGUUCUAAGUUCGGCGGCUCUGUGUUACAACUCCGAGGUCAAGCCGAAUCUAUCCAGUUAACUAGCUGAGUACCUGGGCCUUUCUGAGGCUGCUUCUCCAUUUGGUAGAUGGGUCCAAACCCACCAGCUUGUUGCAGUUGAAGGUAACGUGUGUGGAUCUCCCUACACUGAGGCCAGAGGGCAACAAACGUUUCUCCUUGGAACUCCUCUCCUUCCCUUCCUGUGAAUACCCAUGUGGUGUCCUUGAUCAAAGUUGCUACAGAUUGUUACCUGAUGGGCAGAACACUAGGAUUGACCAAGGUGAAGGUCAUUGCUUGCAUAUAUGCCCACUCACUUAUUCAUUGUGACACACUGAGCCCAGAGACCACUGGCCAUAAAGCUUGUCCUAGGAUAAUUGCCCCCUCUUCCCCAGGUCCAGUAGUCAUGCCGGGCAGUAGGGACAGCCUGAACCCCAGGGCUGCUGGGUGUGGACCACCUCAGCCCUAACAUAGUACCUGGCACAUGCUAGAUUCUUAGUAAGCUAAAUGUCUGAGAUUCUUCAGGAGGCAAUCUAGGGGAGACAAGAAGGGUCUGGGCCCACAGGGCCUCUCCCUAGCAGCUUGGGACUUUAAAGGGAUUCCCUCCCCCCAGUUAACAUGGCAUCAGAUGGCCCUGAUCUGCUGACCCAAUGUUCCCCUUCCCUCUACUUCAGCAACAGCUGUGAAUUGUGUGUGGCAUUUGGCCUGGCUUCAUUAUGCAGGGAGCUUCGCGGUGGGCUCAUCUCUUGUGAACACCCAAACCCAGCUCCUUGGUGCCAUGCUGCAGGCUGGCAACCCUGGGGCUGACCCUGGAAAUUCCAGUGAGUCCCCUUCAGGGCUUCAGAUGGUUUGAAUCACACCUCCUGUCCCCCGCUCCUCAGAACAAUUUCCCCACACCCAUAGCCAGGCUGCUGAUUGGCCAAUUACGGAGGAAUUACAUCACGAAUUAUGUUUUGCGCAGGCCUGCCCGCCCAUCCUUGGUAGUGACCGAGGCCAAGUCACCAGGCAGAACAAAGCACAUCUCUUCCCACCUCACUUCUCUCCUAAUUGAAAACAAUUCAGAAAUCACUGAGCAGUUUGGCAUGAGGACAAUUUCUGGUAUAGAGAGAGGCGGCAGAGAGCAGGCAGUUGGGAUGCCCGUGGUGGCGAGGGAGGGAACUGAUUGGUGGGCCGUGCCAGGGCGAGGCCGGGGGGGCCUUACGUGUCGUAGAGCACAAUGGUGCGGGAGCCAUUGCAGUUGUUGACGAUGCAGCAAGAGCAUGGGGUUUCCCCUCUGCCCUGCCAGGCCACCUGAGACACAUCCACGCCCCGCUGCCUGAAGUCGGCCACCAGGAAGCUUGAGGUGGAGCCCGAGCCAAGGGAAGGGCAAGGAGACACAAAUUAGAGCCUACGAGUGGCCUGGGCCUCCCUCAGGGUUGAGGAGGAAUGCCGGAGCAGGGGUGCCUCUCUGAGAAGAAGGGUCCCGUUCCGGGAGUUUGGUGAUGGCGGCGGCAGCUGGCAAGGUGCGGACAGGUGUACAAACCUGUAGGCAUGGAGGAUGGUGCGGCUACCACUGGCCUCGUUGAUGAUGACUGUGGAGAUGGGGACAGAGCCCGUGGUCUGAAAGACUGUGUAGCGUAGGUCCACAGAAUAGCGGCGGAGGUCAUCCAGGACAAAACUGCCGAGACGGAGUAACCCAGGGGAGGUGUAGUUCGACAGGGUUUGGGGACUGGAGGGAGGCGGCAGGGACUCCGGCUGCAAAGGGUUUGGGGACUGGAGGGAGGUGGCAGGGACUCCGGCUGCAAAGGGUUUGGGGACUGGAGGGAGGCAGCAGGGACUCCGGCUGCAAGCAGAGGGGGCUAGGAGGGAGCCGGGAAUCACCAUGCUGUCAGAGGCUAUGCCAGGGGGCAGGAGAGGCAGGGGCACAGAGCCUGGAACUCAGUGAGAGAAACACUAAGGGAUGUUCUUUUAGGUCCUGGCUGAGGUAAACUCCAACCCGGAUCCUGUCCUUCAGUCUGACUCAAGCCAGAAAGGAUGUGCUCAGUGAACCCAGAUGGGGUAGAUCUGGGGGCCUGGAGCACGUGCCCUGUUUGAACGAAGCAGGUGAGGGCACUGUGGUCUGUCUCAUGCAAAGCCUUGGCAGAACUGAUAAUUACCAAGGUGGUACUUCGCUCCCCAGCUGCCCUCUACACACUCAUCCUCACGGUACUCUUCUCUCGGGAGUCCCUUGAGUGCUACUGGGAUUCCACUCAGUCCGCGGCUGCCUCCGUGAUGCCCGGCCAGGAAGUGGUGCUGCCUUGGUGAGGCCACCCACCACCCUCACCUCUCGUGGCAAGGUGAACCCCGCAGGCAGUGAGCUGGCUCCCAGUGCCUGAUGCUCCUCGACGUGGGGCCUGGUCCAGGACUCUUCCCCAGAAUCCCCUCUAAUCAGAGUGAGUGGGAGGUGGACCCUGGGGGGGACUGCGCCACCCCCACGCUUCCUGGCCGCAGCGUCUCUGGAAAGUGUCCUAUGACCGCUGGU